GAUGAAGAACGUAGUGAAAUGCGAUAAGUAAUGUGAAUUGCAGAAUUCAGUGAAUCAUCGAAUCUUUGAACGCACAUUGCGCCCCUUGGUAUUCCGGGGGGCAUGCCUGUUCGAGCGUCAUUUCAACCCUCAAGCUCAGCUUGGUAUUGAGUCCAUGUCAGUAAUGGCAGGCUCUAAAAUCAGUGGCGGCGCCGCUGGGUCCUGAACGUAGUAAUAUCUCUCGUUACAGGUUCUCGGUGUGCUUCUGCCAAAACCCAAAUUUUCUAUGGUUGACCUCGGAUCAGGUAGGGAUACCCGCUGAACUUACGCAUAUCAAUAAGCGGAGGA
rnacentral:misc_RNA from 1 species